rnacentral:rRNA from 1 species
GACGAACGCUGGCGGCGUGCUUAACACAUGCAAGUCGAACGGUGAACUCCGCUUGCGGGGGGAUCAGUGGCGAACGGGUGAGUAACACGUGGGCAACCUGCCCUCAGCUCUGGGAUAACUCCAAGAAAUUGGGGCUAAUACCGGAUAUGACCGCUGACCGCAUGGUCUGGUGGUGGAAAGAUUUAUCGGCUGGGGAUGGGCCCGCGGCCUAUCAGCUUGUUGGUGGGGUAGUGGCCCACCAAGGCGACGACGGGGAGCCGGCCUGAGAGGGUGACCGGCCACACUGGGACUGGGACACGACCCAGACUCCUACGGGAGGCAGCAGUGGGGAAUAUUGCGCAAUGGGCGAAAGCCUGACGCAGCGACGCCGCGUGGGGAUGACGGCCUUCGGGUUGUAAACCUCUUUCAGCAGGGACGAAGCGAAAGUGACGGUACCUGCAGAAGAAGCACCGGCCAACUACGUG